AAAAGGAUGCAGAAGCAGCCAUGGAAGGAAUUGAACCCUCAUAAGCUGGUUUCAAGCCAACCACAUCAAACCACUCAUGCUUCUUUCUUAUGGGUAGUUGGACAUUCAUGGUAAGAAAAUAGAA